GAUGAACGCUGGCGGCGUGCCUAAUACAUGCAAGUCGAGCGAAUGGAUUAAGAGCUUGCUCUUAUGAAGUUAGCGGCGGACGGGUGAGUAACACGUGGGUAACCUGCCCAUAAGACUGGGAUAACUCCGGGAAACCGGGGCUAAUACCGGAUAAUAUUUUGAACUGCAUGGUUCAAAAUUGAAAGGCGACUUCGGCUGUCGCUUAUGGAUGGACCCGCGUCGCAUUAGCUAGUUGGUGAGGUAACGGCGCACCAAGGCAACGAUGCGUAGCCGACCUGGGGGGGUGGUCGGCCACACUGGGACUGAGACACGGCCCAGACUCCUACGGGAGGCAGCAGUAGGGAAUCUUCCGCAAUGGACGAAAGUCUGACGGAGCAACGCCGCGUGAGUGAUGAAGGCUUUCGGGUCGUAAAACUCUGUUGUUAGGGAAGAACAAGUGCUAGUUGAAUAAGCUGGCACCUUGACGGUACCUAACCAGAAAGCCACGGCUAACUACGUGCCAGCCGCCGCGGUAACAC
rnacentral:rRNA from 1 species